rnacentral:sRNA from 1 species
GUGCUGGAGAAUCUGGUAAAAGCACCAUUGUGAAGCAGAUGAGGAUCCUGCAUGUUAAUGGGUUUAAUGGAGACAGUGAGAAGGCAACCAAAGUGCAGGACAUCAAAAACAACCUGAAAGAGGCGAUUGAAACCAUUGUGGCCGCCAUGAGCAACCUGGUGCCCCCCGUGGAGCUGGCCAACCCCGAGAACCAGUUCAGAGUGGACUACAUUCUGAGUGUGAUGAACGUGCCUGACUUUGACUUCCCUCCCGAAUUCUAUGAGCAUGCCAAGGCUCUGUGGGAGGAUGAAGGAGUGCGUGCCUGCUAUGAACGCUCCAACGAGUACCAGCUGAUUGACUGUGCCCAGUACUUCCUGGACAAGAUCGACGUGAUCAAGCAGGCUGACUACGUGCCGAGCGAUCAGGACCUGCUUCGCUGCCG